rnacentral:rRNA from 1 species
CCUACGGGGAGCAGCAGUGAGGAAUAUUGGUCAAUGGACGAGAGUCUGAACCAGCCAAGUAGCGUGAAGGAUGACUGCCCUAUGGGUUGUAAACUUCUUUUAUAUGGGAAUAAAACGUUCCACGUGUGGGAUUUUGUAUGUACCAUAUGAAUAAGGAUCGGCUAAAUCCGUGCCAGCAGCCGCGGUAAUACGGAGGAUCCGAGCGUUAUCCGGAUUUAUUGGGUUUAAAGGGAGAGUAGGUGGAUUGUUAAGUCAGUUGUGAAAGUUUGCGGCUCAACCGUAAAAUUGCAGUUGAAACUGGCAGUCUUGAGUACAGUAGAGGUGGGCGGAAUUCGUGGUGUAGCGGUGAAAUGCUUAGAUAUCACGAAGAACUCCGAUUGCGAAGGCAGUUCACUGGACUGCAACUGACACUGAGGCUCGAAAGUGUGGGUAUCAAACAGGAUUAGAUACCCCAGUAGUC